rnacentral:rRNA from 1 species
UGGGGAAUAUUGGACAAUGGGGGCAACCCUGAUCCAGCCAUGCCGCGUGUGUGAAGAAGGCCUUUUGGUUGUAAAGCACUUUAAGCAGUGAAGAAGACUCCAUGGUUAAUACCCAUGGACGAUGACAUUAGCUGCAGAAUAAGCACCGGCUAACUCUGUGCCAGCAGCCGCGGUAAUACAGAGGGUGCAAGCGUUAAUCGGAAUUACUGGGCGUAAAGCGAGCGUAGGUGGCUUGAUAAGUCAGAUGUGAAAGCCCCGGGCUUAACCUGGGAACGGCAUCUGAUACUGUUAGGCUAGAGUAGGUGAGAGGAAGGUAGAAUUCCAGGUGUAGCGGUGAAAUGCGUAGAGAUCUGGGUGAAUACCGAUGGCGGCGGCAGCCUUCUGGCAUCAUACUGACACUGAGGUUCGAAAGCGUGGGUAGCAAACA